UUUUUUAUUUUUUUAGCAAUUAUGUGAUUCAAAUUAGGGAAUUAAAAAUUGCUGUAGAAUAUUCUCCGUCUGUGCACCUAUUUGGCAAAAAUUUUAAAGAUAUACAUGGUUUUUCUACUUAGCCAAGUUAUUACAAAUAAAUACCAGAAGAAAUGAUGUUCCUUGAAACCUUAUGUUAAAAAAUGGAAUCAACCAGUAAAGCUUCCCAAGAUGGUUCUGAUCCUGAUUUCAAAUGGGUUGAUUAUCUUGAGGAUACUAAUUCUACUCCAGCUCCAUCAGAAGCUUUUAUACAUGU